CAAUCUACUGCUGGAGUUCUCCCCCAGCAAAGAGCCCAUCCUGGAGUCAGGGGUGAUUGAGCUGCUCUGCACUCUGACGCAGAGCGACAGUCCUGCUCUGAGGGUCAAUGGGAUCUGGGCUUUAAUGAACAUGGCGUUCCAGGCGGAUCAGAAGGUGAAGGUGGAGAUCGUCCGGUGUUUGGGAACAGAACAGUUGUUCCGGCUGCUAUCGGACCCCGACAGCAACGUGCUGAUGAAGACCCUCGGGCUGCUGAGGAACCUGCUGUCAACACGC